CCUACGGGUGGCAGCAGUGGGGAAUAUUGCGCAAUGGGCGAAAGCCUGACGCAGCGACGCCGCGUGAGGGAUGAAGGUCUUCGGAUCGUAAACCUCUGUCAGCAGGGAAGAACGGUCACUGUGCUAAUCAGCAGUGAAUUGACGGUACCUGCAAAGGAAGCACCGGCUAACUCCGUGCCAGCAGCCGCGGUAAUACGGAGGGUGCGAGCGUUAAUCGGAAUUACUGGGCGUAAAGCGCGCGUAGGCGGUAUGUCAAGUCAAGGGUGAAAUCCCCGCGCUCAACGUGGGAACUGCCUUUGAAACUGGCAGACUGGAGUGUGUGAGAGGAUAGUGGAAGUCCAGGUGUAGGGGUGAAAUGCGUAGAUAUCUGGAGGAACAUCAGUGGCGAAGGCGACUAUCUGGCACAUAACUGACACUGAGGCUCGAAAGUGUGGGUAUCAAACAGGAUUAGAUACCCCUGUAGUC
rnacentral:rRNA from 1 species